rnacentral:rRNA from 1 species
CUGCGGAAGGAUCAUUGUCAA